GCCUUGCUGAAUUAUUCACCCUUGUCUUUUGCGUACUUCUUGUUUCCUUGGUGGGUUCGCCCACCACUAGGACAAACAUAAACCUUUUGUAAUUGCAAUCAGCGUCAGUAACAAAUUAAUAAUUACAACUUUCAACAACGGAUCUCUUGGUUCUGGCAUCGAUGAAGAACGCAGCGAAAUGCGAUAAGUAGUGUGAAUUGCAGAAUUCAGUGAAUCAUCGAAUCUUUGAACGCACAUUGCGCCCUUUGGUAUUCCAAAGGGCAUGCCUGUUCGAGCGUCAUUUGUACCCUCAAGCUUUGCUUGGUGUUGGGCGUCUUGUCUCUAGCUUUGCUGGAGACUCGCCUUAAAGUAAUUGGCAGCCGGCCUACUGGUUUCGGAGCGCAGCACAAGUCGCACUCUCUAUCAGCAAAGGUCUAGCAUCCAUUAAGCCUUUUUUCAACUUUUGACCUCGGAUCAGGUAGGGAUACCCGCUGAACUUAAGCAUAUC
rnacentral:rRNA from 1 species